rnacentral:tRNA from 3 species
GUGGGUGUAGCUCAGCUGGUUAGAGCGCCGGAUUGUGGAUCCGGAGGUCGCGGGUUCGAAACCCGUCAUCCACCCCA